rnacentral:rRNA from 1 species
UACGGAAUGUGCAAACGUUAUUCGGAAUCACUGGGCUUAAAGAGUCCGUAGGCGGCAUGUUAGGUGAGGUGUGAAAUCCCCCGGCUCAACCGAGGAAUUGCGCUUCAAACCGGCGUGCUUGAGGAAGAUAGAGGUGGGCGGAACUGAUGGUGUAGCGGUGAAAUGCGCAGAUAUCAGGAAGAACACCAAUGGCGAAAGCAGCUUUCUGGGACGGUACUGACGCUGAGGAACGAAAGCCAGGGGAGCAAACGGG